GACGAACGCUGGCGGCGUGCCUAAUACAUGCAAGUCGAGCGGAAGUUGAAGAGCUUGCUCUUCAACUUUAGCGGCGGACGGGCGAGUAACACGUGGGCAACCUGCCCUGCAGAUCGGGAUAACUCCGGGAAACCGGUGCUAAUACCGAAUAGUUUUCGCCACCUCCUGGUGGCGUACGGAAAGACGGUUUCGGCUGUCACUGCAGGAUGGGCCCGCGGCGCAUUAGCUAGUUGGUGGGGUAACGGCCCACCAAGGCGACGAUGCGUAGCCGACCUGAGAGGGUGGUCGGCCACACUGGGACUGAGACACGGCCCAGACUCCUACGGGAGGCAGCAGUAGGGAAUCUUCCGCAAUGGACGAAAGUCUGACGGAGCAACGCCGCGUGAGUGACGAAGGUUUUCGGAUCGUAAAACUCUGUUGUGAGGGAAGAACAAGUACCACUUAACUACUGGUACCUUGACGGUACCUCACCAGAAAGCCACGGCUAACUACGUGCCAGCCGCCGCAGUAAUAC
rnacentral:rRNA from 1 species